UUUAUCAACAAUCAGUCUGUAUUAUUAAUUCAAAUUACACAUCCGUUUUAUCACUUCUUUUUCCCAGUUAUCAUGCCCAUCAAUUGUUUCUUUUUAAUACCAGAUUUGUUUUUUAUGGUGAAAUGAAUUCAUAAACUGGCCAAACAAAGAACCAGUGUUGAAAGGUGAAUCAUUUCCUUAAAGAUAAGCGAUAAGAUACCAGCAUGGGUACAGACUGUGGGAAAUGUGUGGCUUCCAUUGAACAUGUUCCCACCACUAUUUUUACCCAUCACACACACACACACACAAACACACAGUAUGUGAAUGCCUGCACACAGAUUUGGAAUGUGAAAACACUGUGACCAUGUGAAAGACGUCACUUGUAGUGAUGAACUUACAGAGAAUUAUGACCUCAAUCUGCAGUUCCCCAUGGGUUUAUGGAGAUGUGUAGUGAGUUUCAGCUCAUUGUUUAGCUCCGUACCACAAUGUUCCUGUUUUGGUUCACUCUCACUGCUCUCGUAGUGUCAUGGUUGCCCCCACAGGCAGCACCAAACAGCAGACAGACACAGUUAGGGACCAGCUGGUAAACAUAGUGGAAAAUUUAGCAGCUAAAGAGCAACAUAUUUCCCUCAGGAGUCAGUGGAGACCAAAAACAGAGCUAAAAGAGAGUGAAUAGUGAACGUACAUUUGUCAGGCAGACAGACACUGUGCCAGAUUAGUGAUGUUUCUCUUUAAAUAAGCAAAUUAUUUAUAUAUAUGAUUUAUAUACACAGCACAGUCUGGUAGUUUAGUCCAGGGGUCCCCAACCCAGGGAAUGGGGCCCUCCAAAGGGUCACAAGAUUCAUAGGAGUGGCCAUGAAACAAUUAAUAGGAGAAGAAAGAGGGAUAAAAAAGUCAAGUUCUGCUGCACUGGAUUCAUUUUCUGCUCUUUUCUCUGGGAUAUUGGAAAGUUUUACCUUUUUGCAGCAUCUAAUAGAUAUUUAAAUGAAACCAUGUCUUUGGCAGAACUGCUAUCAACCCAUAGACCCAUCUGAAACAUGACAAGAGGCCCAACUAGACACUACACACAAUGCAUUAUAUCCUAUUACCAAAUAAGAUAACAUAAAUUCUUCAUUUAAAGAUUAAGAAGCAACUACAGCUGCCAGAUAAAUGAAGUGGAAAAAGCACAACUAUAGUGAUGUGGAGGUAUAAAGUAGCAUCAAAUCGAAACCACUGCAUAUUUGCAUCUUCCACUGCUUUAGUAUACUUCUUGAGGGCGCAGUUAAUCUGGCUGUAAACAGUGUCUAAGCUGCUGGCUUAUGUGUGUUAUGUGCACUCGGGGUGUUCUCUCUUUGAGCUGCUGUUUGCCUCCACAGUCAGCUGAUGUUGUUUAUCUCAGCGGUGCUCACUUGCUUAUGAGGUUUGUCCUCUAGAGGAGUGCGUGGGAAUAUUAUUCACUGGAACUGUGCAGUAAACUGGCUGUUGCCUCACGUUGCACAUGAAUUACUACACACAUGCGUACACACACACACCUUCCUGUGUGUCCAAAACAAAAGGAAAACUGGAAAAACCUAAUUCUGAGUGACUCUAAUAGGGAGAACAGGUUGGAUCUUGACUUGACAGACGCUAAACGGCAGUUGCAUUGCCAGCUGUUGGUUGGUUGGCUUUCAAUUGUCUUUUGCAAGGGCAGUGCUUCAAAGUGUACCUUGCUAUUCAAAGCAGGGACAAAGGCCAAGGCUGAAAGGCUUUAACGAAUCGCAGCUGAGGUAAAAGCUCUCACUAUUCCUGUCUAACCAUUCAGACCUCGAAUAAGCCUCCAAACAAACACACAAUCCCCCCUUUUCAUUAUAACCUGGAAAUCCAGCCUCAAUGGUACACACGCUGCAAUGAUAUGAGUUAUAUUAGUACUCAGUGUUCCCAGAACUCCUUUCCUUCCAACGCCUGCCUGUAUCCUAAUCUUCAUUCCUCCCAUUCCUCUCAAACUCAGUCACUAGCUGCUCCUCUCUGUACUUUGUGAAAGUUUCACAGCAUGCUAACUAAAAAAAAACUAAAAAAUGAUGCUAGUAAAGUGUAAAGAUGAAACAGAGGAAAUGAAAGGGCGAGGUAUGGGCCAACGUGUAUUUACAUGUAUAUGACUUUGCCAAAGACAAGCCUGCUCUUGUGAGUAGGCUUUCAUAUGCAUCACAGAGUAAAUUUACUUUAGGAGGAAGCAAACACAGUCAGCUGAGCAGAGCUGGGAAAAAACGCAGAGAGAGAGAACAGACAACCACUUCGAAGGACAUCCUGACAUGCUUUAAAUGACAUCAAAGCUUUAACAGUUUGUGGGUGAAAUGAGAAAAGCAGGAAUUAAGGCAGAGAGAUGUCAUCAGCGUGACUGCAGUCUGGGAAAGCAGAUGAUCAUGACAGUGCAGAGUAAAGGUCAGAAAACAGGAAGCGGACCCCAAUCUUGGGACAAUGAUGGGAAGUUAAAUUCAUUCAUUUUUGCUCUGAACAGGAACAAGGAAGAGAAAUGAAACUUAGUGAGAUGAGUCAGAAUUUAACCAGAUUGGCGUAGUUGCUUUGUAAAAUGGAACAUGAAAACCUAAAACUUCAAAAAAAAGACAGACCACACAGCUGACAGUGUGCAAAGACUGAAACGGAUGUAAUUAAAUCAUGAUGUAAUGUAAUCCAUUUCCUGUGUAGACUGGACGUCUGACCAGCCAGAUUCUCCAUAGUUGACUAAUAUGAUUUACUUGGGGGGUGGGGGUGGGGGGUAAAGUCCAGAUCGAAAGCUAUCCAACUGUAUAACUUGACCAUGACACAUGACUGAGGAAUUUUAAUUACUGUAAGCAAGUUGAGAUUCACAUGGGCAGCACCUGACUCAUCCUAAACCAGUCAGAAUGACGAAUGUGAAUCACAAGUCAACCUUUAAAGUUUAACUUUAUCCUGAACACCAUUCAUUUCCUGUGGACUUGAAAGAUGGUUGUUAAAGAGUUUGUGUCCCGUAGUUAAAAUAGAUUCCUGUCUAUUUAUUUACAUUUUCACAGUGCAAUAAAAAUCCAAAGAAACUCUUCAAACCCAAAAAAUCUACUUCACUGUUUGACUAUAAAACAUGCACAACAACCCUGUCUGAUUCAUAUACUGGACUGUGGGACUCCUGCUCUUCUAUUGGUUACAAAACUGACCUGAGGAUAAUCAGCCCAAUCAACAAUGUGGUUGGUCCCAACACACCCAAAGCAGAGACACCUACAACACCUACACUGGCAGCAUGACGCUCCAGAGAUUAACGACUGCGGCUGAGAAGAGUGGCAACACAUUUGUCCAGAGAUUCAGAGUUUACACUGUCCAUCUGCUUCAAAAAACUUUUUUUUUGUCUGCAAUAGUUAUGGCACAUCAUGUCAUCUGAGCUCAAGUUCAAGUUUUGUGCCAAAAUAGUUUUUAUUCUGUUGAAAUUUGUGCAGAAGAAGCUUUCAUUUCUCAUCACACUCUCAGUCGUCACUUUUCAUGUCUAGGCGGGCCAAGUGUUUCAUGUUAAAAACAUUGAUUUUGGGUGGAAUAUCACUUUAACACAGCUGCUCGUAUCACCAAAGGCAAAGACUGAAACUUGUGUAGGAGUGUCGUUCAUAUGCAAUACGACACUGCAGCUCUGUUUCUUUAAGAAAGCGUGGGCGAGUGAAAGAAUGUGCAGAGAAACAGCUUGUCACAUCUUCAAAACAGUAACGUGUAUUUCCCCCAUCCACAGAAUCCAGUGAAGAGGCCUUUAAUUAAAUCUGAUAUGUGUGUGGGAGGCAAAACUUGGCCAGUAUUUCACUCAAAACACAGAAGGUGUGAGAUUUUUUCAGGUAAAGCAGGGACAUUUUUCUGUGGGGGCUGAUAGAGCACACAGUCUUACAGGAAAGCUGUCAGAAAAACAUGCUUUUCUGGAUAUGUCUUGAGGCCACAAUGAAGAAAUGACUUAAGACAGCAUGAGAGACAGAGAGAGACAAAAUAGGUUCAGGCAGGUAAACAAAUAAUCUUAAAUGGGUUAUAUUUACAUGCUAGCAGCCUACGGCGCAUACCUUAUGCUUGAGACAUGAUUUGGACACAGUGAUGGUUGUUAUCGACACAGCCACAGGAAUGGUCUUUAAAAAAAAAUCACCAGACACCAGAAGGAAAACAUUUUCUUUCAGACUACAAAGAAGACUAAUUUGCUUUCUUAUGCGGGCUCCUGUGCAAGAAAAUGACUGCUUCUCCAUAAUUUUGGUGCAGAAACGAACCACAAACAAACACAUCAGAGAACUGAGGAUAUGGGAGAAAACUCAACAGCACUGUUCCUGCUCUCUUUAUGGGCAUGCCUGGACAUUAAUGAAGCCUGAAAACGCCUCGGAUCACUGAGCUAAUGCAGCACCCUUCAUGUGUACUCCAGACACCCUGCAUGUGACCACUUGAACAUCUCAGGUGAAAUCCAGGGCACAGAGACCUGAGGGCCUGCAGGCUGCUCUGUUAUCCUUAUGAAUCAGAUUCUAGGCUUUCUCCAGAGGAAGAAAAUAUCUGCAGGGACUUAUAUUGACUGCAACAAACUUAGAUUUCUAUGUCAGUUACAUUUCAAUCAACACAGGCAUGCAAAGGUGAAAAGGUAGAUGAAAUUAACUGCAUUAACUGAAAUGAUUAUUAGAACAACAGCAAAUUACUCAACUACAAUUUUGAUGAUCAAGUAAUUUCCUGAGUAAGUUACUGAGCAACAAGACAAGAAGACGUCAUCAAAUGUCAAAUCUUUGACAUUGUCCAAAAUCAUGUACUCCACCUCUAACAUGAUCAAACUACAAUAACCAGUGAAUGAAUGAAUUCUCAUCUUUUUCUCACAGUCACAGCAAAUUCAGGAGUGAUGGGUUUUAACAUAUUAGUUCUCUGGAGGUCAAUAAAUACAAUAUCUGCCUGAACAACCUCAUGUGGCCAUUUAAGCUGUUCUGUAUAUAAUAAACAUGUGAAGUGUUUCUCCUUGACCUUGUGUGGGCGUCCUUGGUCACGUGCUGUCAUUAGCCUGAGAACUGACACUUAUCUCUAUUAUUAAUCAGUCCAUGUUUCACCAUGUCGUCGUGUGGGACUGUUCUCUCAGGAACGCUUCUUCCCAUCUGUCUCACGCCUAUCACAUUUCAUCGUCAGAACCUGAUACAGUUUCAGUCAACACCUAUUUCCUCAAGUCAUACAGUUCAGCCUAGAUAUUUUGGUUGGAGGCUCCAGGGUCUUGUUGACGUGCUGGAUUCCACAGCAGAACAUGGGGGAUUAUGGGAAUUUUGUAAAAGCAAAUAAGAACUGAUCAGAAAAAAAACACUCUAAGAGAUAAACUAUCAAAGAAAAGCCAGUCUCUGUGACAGGUUGGUGAACUUUGGACAUAUGAUUGGUUAAAGCAGAUCUUUGCUCUUGGUCUGAAGAUAUGGCUCAAAUGCUACACCACAUCAGCCCAUGUUAUUAUUUGCAGAGUAAAAGCAGCUCAUGUUAACAAGACUGUGAUGACCAUUUUCAGCACCAAUAACUGUAUGCAAUUCAAAAUAAAAAUAAAAAAUCAUCAAGCUUUG